rfam:Camelus ferus unplaced genomic scaffold scaffold872, whole genome shotgun sequence.
GAGGGUAUAGCUCUGUGGUAGAGUGUGUACCUAGCAUGCACGAGGUGCUAGGUUCAAUCCCCAGUACCACCA